AGGAAUAUUGGUCAAUGGACGCGAGUCUGAACCAGCCAAGUAGCGUGAAGGAUGACUGCCCUAUGGGUUGUAAACUUCUUUUAUAUGGGAAUAAAGUGGUCCACGUGUGGAUUUUUGUAUGUACCAUAUGAAUAAGGAUCGGCUAACUCCGUGCCAGCAGCCGCGGUAAUACGGAGGAUCCGAGCGUUAUCCGGAUUUAUUGGGUUUAAAGGGUGCGUAGGCGGACUGCCAAGUCAGCGGUAAAAUAGCGGGGCUCAACCCCGUCGAGCCGUUGAAACUGGUGGUCUUGAGUGGGCGAGAAGUACGCGGAAUGUGUGGUGUAGCGGUGAAAUGCAUAGAUAUCACGCAGAACUCCGAUUGCGAAGGCAGCGUACCGGCGCCCGACUGACGCUGAAGCACGAAAGCGUGGGUAUCGAACAGGAUUAGAUACCCUGGUAGUCCACGCAGUAAACGAUGAAUGCUAGCUGUCCGGGACGAAUGAGUCCUGGGUGGCACAGCGAAAGCGUUAAGCAUUCCACCUGGGGAGUACGCCGGCAACGGUGAAACUCAAAGGAAUUGACGGGGGCCCGCACAAGCGGAGGAACAUGUGGUUUAAUUCGAUGAUACGCGAGGAACCUUACCCGGGCUCAAACGCACUACGAAUGAUGCUGAAAGGUGUCAGCCAGCAAUGGCGUAGUGCGAGGUGCUGCAUGGUUGUCGUCAGCUCGUGCCGUGAGGUGUCGGCUUAAGUGCCAUAACGAGCGCAACCCCUACCGACAGUUGCUAACUGGUCAAGCAGAGGACUCUGUCGGGACUGCCGGCGCAAGCUGUGAGGAAGGCGGGGAUGACGUCAAAUCAGCACGGCCCUUACGUCCGGGGCGACACACGUGUUACAAUGGCAGGUACAGCGGGAAGCCACCUGGCGACAGGGAGCGGAACCCGAAAACCUGUCUCAGUUCGGAUUGGAGUCUGCAACCCGACUCCAUGAAGCUGGAUUCGCUAGUAAUCGCGCAUCAGCCAUGGCGCGGUGAAUACGUUCCCG
rnacentral:rRNA from 1 species